rnacentral:rRNA from 1 species
UACAGAGGGGGCAAGCGUUGUUCGGAAUUACUGGGCGUAAAGGGCGCGUAGGCGGCCUUCUAAGUCGAACGUGAAAUCCCCGGGCUCAACCCGGGAACUGCGUCCGAUACUGGAAGGCUUGAAUCCGGGAGAGGGAUGUGGAAUUCCAGGUGUAGCGGUGAAAUGCGUAGAUAUCUGGAGGAACACCUGCGGCGAAGGCGGGUUGCUGGGCUGACACUGACGCUGAUGCGCGAAAGCUAGGGGAGCGAACGGG